UUCCAGUAAGUGAUACCACUGCAGUUGCUGCCCCAACACUACUCUCCAACCACUGUUGAAGAAACCACAUCUGCUCUACCAUAUUCUUCCUAUGGAAGCAGAACUAUGGAAUAUUUUGGAUGACUGAACCACAUAAACAUCAAUUCUGCUGCCCAUAGAGUCUUCAUGAACACAGAGAGUGGAGUGGGAAUUAGAAAAUGUCGUGCCUUCCUCUGUGGCUGUGGCUUAAAUAAAGGGGAUCUUUGUUUCCGUGGCAGAAAUGUCACAAGGAGGGCAGGGCUGAAUGGACUCCAGCAGUCGGUUACUCUUUCCUGUCUCGUGAGGGCAUGAAGGACAGAGGCCAUAACAGGGACCCAAAGCAGUGCUGCGUGAAAC